rnacentral:rRNA from 1 species
AGUGAACGCUGGCGGUAGGCCUAACACAUGCAAGUCGAACGGCAGCACAGUAAGAGCUUGCUCUUACGGGUGGCGAGUGGCGGACGGGUGAGGAAUACAUCGGAAUCUACUUUUUCGUGGGGGAUAACGUAGGGAAACUUACGCUAAUACCGCAUACGACCUACGGGUGAAAGCAGGGGAUCUUCUGACCUUUCGCUAUUGAAUGAGCCGAUGUCGGAUUAGCUAGUUGGCGGGGUAAAGGCCCACCAAGGCGACGAUCCGUAGCUGGUCUGAGAGGAUGAUCAGCCACACUGGAACUGAGACACGGUCCAGACUACUACGGGAGGCAGCAGUGGGGAAUAUUGGACAAUGGGCGCAAGCAUGAUCCAGCCAUACCGCGUGGGUGAAGAAGGCCUUCGGGUUGUAAAGCCCUUUUGUUGGGAAAGAAAAGAAGCAGGUUAAUACCCCGAUGUUCUGACGGUACCCAAAGAAUAAGCACCGGCUAACUUCGUG